GUACGUGCCAAGGUCUGGCUUCGGUCAACCUCUGGCGCGUGCAUCCGUCUGCAAGCUUAGCACGGCCUUCAUUGGUCGACUAAGGGAGUAGACCCUUUACCUUGAAAAAAUUAGAGUGUUUCUAGCAGGCAAUUGCUUGAAUACAUUAGCAUGGAAUAAUAGAAUAGGACUAUCGCUCCAUUUCGUUGGUUAUUGGGCGAAAGUA
rnacentral:rRNA from 1 species